GAAACUGCAGGUCGGAGGAAGAGCUGUGUCCCAAAGGCAGGGCUAGGUCCAUCCAAUCAUUUUGCUCAGCUGAUUGGUUACCAUGGAGAUUAAAUGACUUCUCAAACAUGUGACACUAAGGCGACACUACAGGAAUGUUUUUGAUGAGGGAAGAACUUUAUAUCUUGACGUAAAGCUCAAACAUGUCGAUAUUACAUAAUAUUGCCCCUUUAGCAUUUUUACCAGAGCAGUAAUAACAGGAAGUCACCUAAAUAAAAAAUGUCUUGUCUUUGGUUAGUGUUGAUCUACAUUUUGCAUAAAUAUUAAAAUUGGACUCAGAUUUUUUUUAAUGAUUUCUCAGACAAAAUCUAAAGGCUACUUAAAUAUCUCGGCUUCAGGGAAGACAGGAAACCAGAAAGUCAGUCAUGGAAGAUUUUUUUAUCCUUCUUUUUCGGUUUCUGCUGCAGAACUGGUUCUUGAUCCAGAGCCGGAUAAGACCGAGUUUGAUUCUUCCAAACUGGUCCAAGUCACAAAAUGCUGAGCAGCAAUGGAAAACCGGAGUAACAGCCGCACAGAAGCAGAAAUCUGACCUUGAUAUGAGGAAGCAUUUUUCUGAGGAAUGGAAAAAUCCGUCCAGGAUAACGAGAAACUUCUUCCAACUUGUAUUAAAUCCUUUUAACAGUUUGGGAAAAGACAGAGAGGGAAACCAGGAUAGCUUAUAUGGGGAAUUAAAGCUGAAACUGUCCUGCAGCCACAGAGAAACUAGAGACGACCUUCCCAACGCGGAGCUUCCUGAAAAUCCCAAAUAUUUACAGUCGAACAUUUAAUUUAGUCUGGAACUAACAAAGCAGAUGAAAUGUUUGAAAAUCUGAAACUAAUAGUCUGUUCUGAGUGUUUUCAGAUUAAAAAACACAUUCAUGACGACAUGACGACUGUGGAGAGGGCGGGUGGGCGAGCAAGGCAGUGCAUUAUGUGGUAACAUGGGUAGAGAGAGAGAGAGGCUGUUCUUGUUGGGAUUAAUUGGAAGCAGCUGCUGAGGAAACGUUGAUCCUGGUUGGCUGUUGAGAGUUUCUGUUUGGAAGAACGGCGACUCGGUGACGCAACGCUGCAGAACAGUUCAGAUCCUGGUUCCCACCAGAACCAAACAGAACUUAAUGAAAAAUUCAUUAUUUUCUGAAAGAACCAGCAUCUAAUCGCCAGAGAACAAAAUGUGAUCUGAACUGGGCGGAGCAAUAACUUCCAUAUUUAGUUUUCUGUUUUUAUGACUCUGUCAUGAACACAACACUUCUUAAAUGGGAAGUAGUAUUUAUUUUUAGCCACAUAAUUCCAUUUUAAGGCACAUCUAAGAACUAUAUUACCUUGAGUUGUUAUAUUUAUAUAGCAAAUAUGACUUAAAAGAAAUUUUACGUCAACAUUUAAUUCCUUGAAGUUGGGAUUCUGUCUCUUUAAGAAGCUUCUGCCUUCAGGAAGUCGUCACAUUUCUCUGUUAAAAAUGUCUCAGUUGUUUAUUUUCCAUCAUAAAAUUUUGUACUUUUUAUCUACUCAACAAUAAAUAAAGCAUUAACUAUUUUAAUUAAACAUUUUUUGUAGAAACUGGAUUGUAAAUUCAAAACUCCAAAUGUUUUUUUCUUGUUGAAAGAAAUGCAUCCAGUUUGUUAUCAUUUUGGGUUUGGAAAAAUAUUUUGUAUUUCUUAGCAGCAACAAAAGGAUCUAGAUCAGUUCUCAUUUGAAAACACUUCCUGUGUUUAAGCGACUUUAAUUCAGCAAUUAAAAGUAGAUUUGGGUGAAACAAGGUGAACUUCAGACUAUAAGUCAAUGAGUAGACAUGCAUUGUGUUGCAUCUGACAUUUUUGUCAGUAGAUUUUGAUUCAAAAGAUAAAGUUUUGUCCCAAUUUAUACUUGAAUUGUGGCUGGGGGGGUAACGAAAAAAAAAAAUCCAUCCAGGUGCCACUAGCGGCCCCCGGGCCACAGGUUGAACACCGUAGGGUCAGAUGGAUGAAACUCUUGUACAGAAGAUCCGUCACUGGUUUCCUCUAGAGAUUCUUAGGGUGGAAGGUAAAAGUCAAACAAACUCCUCCUCGCAUCAUUCUGGAUGUAAAGUCUGUUCAGAUUUGUCGGACUGAGUCCCCCAGUCUGCAGCGUUGGGCCCCCAUGAAACCGAAGCCGCUCUGCGCAGACAGAAGACUCCUGAAAUUACAGCUGCAGGCUGUAAAUAAACCUCAUUACGAUGAGCUGCAGCGUUUCCUCUCAGUAAUCAUGCAGCGUCUGAGGGGGAGGUCGCUCUUUAAUUCAGCUGCUUGUGGAGAAAAAACCCUGAAUUACAGAUUCCAAAUGAAUCUCUGCCCUGUUGCAACAAACCAGCUUCAUUUUUCUGUUUUUCACGUGCAGUUUUAGAUCUGCAUGCUUGUUCAUUUCCUACAACUUUAAACUCAGUUUAAAGUUUAGCUAUAAUGAAGAAAAAUCAGAUUAAAAUACGCUUGUUAAAACUCCAACUGCCUGAACAUGAAACUGAAACUGAUGAUAAAGACAAUAAAACGUCUUUUUCCUACAGAAAAUCCCAGAUUUGUCUCCAUCAGAAUGGAAUAAAAGUACAUAAAGUGCAAAUGGAUCUUUAAAAGCACCAACAAAA